AUGCGGCGGUGUCAGGGCGCGGGGCUGGCGGCGCUGGCCGCGGUGCUGCUCGCGGCUGUGGUCACAGGCCAGGUGCAGCAGGAGCCAUUCGUGGAGACCAGCGAGGGCACCAGUAUCAGGAUCAACUGCUCACAUCCCAAUAUCCGGAUGGGCGAUUUCAUCCAUUUCUACCGUCACCUCCCGGGUCAAAGACCCGAACUCGUGGCGGUCACUGCUAGAGCGUCCAAGGACGUGCGAGACCCUCCAGGGCGUCUGUGGGUGUCUGCGGAUCGGGGGAGCAGCGCGCUGUGGCUGUGGCGGCCCCGGCGCGGGGACGCGGCCGUGUAUUACUGCGCGCUGGGCGCACGGGCAGAGGAGCCGGGGCUGCGGCCGGCCGUGCCCUAA